rnacentral:lncRNA from 1 species
CUGCUAGAAGUAGAGCUAUAAGGAAUCGAACCUUUUAUUCUAUUGCGCUCUCAAUUCAACAAGUGGAAGGUCAAUAAUCCCAUAAAAUUUUGUUGAAGUACAUGCAUUCAAUUGUGGUUUUAUUGGGAGAUGAGGAGGGAACGGUUUUGGAAGAUGAGGGGUUUCGGAGGUUGGGAGAUGAGAGGGAAUAGUUUUGGUGCAAUUAUAUGCAUUCAAUUGUGGUUUUAUUGGGAGAUAAGGAGGGAGCAGUUUUGAAGAUGAGGGCUUUAGGAGGUUGGGAGAUGAAAGAGAGCAGUUUUGAAAGAAGGAGGUAACACUAUGUCAGCAAGAUAUUGGGGAUUCAUAGAUUAGUAUAGAUUGUAUUGCAGUUUAAUAUUAAAAUCAAAAUAAAAACAUAUAGAAUUUUUUUGAACAAUAAACUAUUUUGAAUUAGCUAUUUAACAUUUCAAAAUUUUGUUUUUACUAUCCAACCUUUUAAUAUGUUAGGUUUAAGUCAGUUAAUUGUACUUUGACUUCAAAAUUUGAAGGCAUUGUUUAGUUUUACAAAUUUAGUUAGUAUAUUUCAUGCAAUUUUCGUAAUUAAAUUUAUUAAAAUAAGUAAUUAGUUCAAACUGAAUCAAUCUUUUUUUUAUUUUUAACUAUACAAUUUAUAUUUAAGUAUAAAUAUUUUAAAAUUAAAAUUUAUAUUCACGACAAAGAAGAAUCAAAUUAGAUUAAAAAAGACCUAAUCCCUAUCAAAAUUAUUAGGGAGAGAAUAAAAAAUAAACUGAACAAUAAAAAUGGAAAACAAAAGAGUGUGCGCCAACCCCACUCUAGCCCCAUUCCUGCCCCACCUCGCCUAAAUAGUUCCACGUGUAUCUUUAACUCAUUUAUACCUUUAUAUCUAUACAUUAUUUCUUCUCAAGUUGCCAUAUGGCAAUUUUUCCUUCAUUGUUGAGUGUGGAUUCUAUUUCUUCAUUGUUGAGUGUAGAUUUCAUCCCGAACCUGCACAAGUCCUUUUUCUUCCUCUUCCUUCGGCUGUUAUCUUUAUUCAUCAGCAAGAUAAAUCUCAUCUCUUAUCAUCAUUUUUUUCAUCAACGUUUCCUUUUUUUUUGUCGAUGUUUUCUAUUUUUUUCAAUUAUCUAUCCGUCGCAUCGAGUGGGUUACUACACUAGUAAUUCAUUAUGUUAUAUAAAAAAUAAGUAUAAAUAUUUUAAAAUUAAAAUUUAUAUAGAUGAGAAAGAAGAAUCAAAUUAGAUUAAAAAUAAGACCUAAUCCCCUAUCAAAAUUAUUAGGGAGAGAUAAAAAAUAAAAUAAAUAAUAAAAAUGGAAAAAAAGGAGUGGGCGCCAACCCCUACUCCUGCCCCCAAUUCAUCCCCACCUCAUACCGCCUGAACAGUGCCAUGUAUAUCUUUAACUCACAAUUCGUUAUGCUAUAUAGAUAUAAAUUAGUUAGUAUAUUUCAUAUAAUUUUCGUAACUAAAUUUAUUGAAAUAAAUAAUUAGUUCAAACUCAAUCAAUUUUUUUUUAUUUUUUAUUGUAUAAUUUAUAUUUAGGUAUAAAUAUUUUAAAAUUAAAAUUUAUAUUAAUGAGAAAGAAGAAUUAAAUUAGAUUAAAAAAAAACCUAAUCUCCUAUCAAAAUUAUUAGGGAGAGAGAAAAAAAUAAAAUAAAUAAUAAAAAUGAAAAAAAAAGAGCGGGCGCCAACCCUGUUCCCGCCUCACCUCGCCUAAAGAGUGCCACGUGUACCUGCCAGUGGAGCUAUGAAUAGUAGCCCAGUCGGACUCUCUCUCUCUCUCUCUCUACAUAUAUAUAUAUAUAUAUAUAUAUAUGGAAAAAAAAAGAGUGGGCGCCGACCCCACUCCCGCCUGCCCCCAUUCCCGCCCCACCUCAUCUAAAUAAUGUCACGUGUACUUUUAACUUAUAAUUCAUUAUAUUAUAGUAGUGUAGAGACCCGUGCGAUGCAACGGGUAGAUAAUAAAAAUAAAAUUUAAAAAUUUUAAUAAAAUUUAUAUUUACAGCUUAUUGAUAUUUAGGAUGCUAUACCAUAUUAAGUACAACCAAUUUGCAUGACUAAAUUCAACUGUUGAAAAAAAAAAUUAUAGUUAGAACCUACUCAUUGAUAGAAUAUUAAUAUGGUGCAUGUAAUUAAAUGUUGCACAUUGUAUGUAAUUAUAGGAGUGAAGAGGUGAAGGGUUGGACGUUGAGAAGAGAAUAAGGUGGUUUGAUUUAAAAUUGGGCUAUGAGAAUGAAGGGUAACAUAUCACGUGGCAAAAAGUUUUUUUUUGUACUGCAUGCAAAAGAGUUGCAAAAGAGAGAGGAUGGGAGAUUAAUGGAGAAUGUGAGUGGAUUAAAGUUAUAAAGCCUAUAGAAUAUUAGUAUGGUGCAUAUAAUUAAAUGUUGCACCUUCCAUGUAAUUAGAGGAGUGGGGAGGUGAAGGGUUGUGCGUUGAGAAUAAAAGGUAACAUGCCACGUGGCAAAAAAUAUUGUGGCUUCAUAUAGAUUUAUAGAUUAUAAAUAUAUAGACGUGUACCUUUAACUCACAAUUCAUUAUGCUAUAUAGAUAUGAAAAAAAAAAACCAACCCCACCGACCGUCCCUAAAGCAAGUGGCAAAGGUCUUGGUGGUUGGUACCCAAGACCCAAGUUCGAAUCCUAGUUGAUUCACAUUUCCAGCUAAGUUUAUUUCUAAAUAAAAUAAACGAAGCGGGUAGCGUGCUACUUAUCUCUCAAAAAAAAAAAAAAAACCAACCCCACUCCCACGUUGCCUAAAUAGUGUCACGUGUGCUUUUAAUUCACAAUUCAUUAUGUUAUACUAGUGUAGUAACCCGCGCGUUGCGGCGGGUAGAUACUAUUAAAAUAAAUUUAAUAUUUAACCAAUAUAUCAAAAGUUUGUUAUUAUUUUAAAAAUCAAAAUAGUCCAAACAUAUUGGCUUCUUGCAAAAAUAUAUUAAUUUACUGAAGUCGAUUAAUAACAAAAUACUCAAGAUAAUAAGUAUGUCAAUCUAUUGAGCUGAAAAACGACAAACUAUUUGGGAGAGAUUUAGAUAAAAAAUUCAAUAAAAAUUAACAUUUUAUAAAUCAAAUCAAAACAAUUAAAUGGUUAAAUUUUUUUUGUAUAAGUUAUAUAUUUAUCCUUUCAUUUUCUAUAUAAGUUAUGGUACUUCAAGAAAAUAAAGUUUUUAGAUUAUAUAUUAAUCUAAUUUUGUAAGUAUUCUUAUAUUAGUUAAUAAAAAGAAUCAUGGAAGUAGAAAAAAGUAAGCAUAUGAAAAGUUAUAUAAUAAAUAUUUAAGAGACAAAAAGAUAUACAACAUAAUGCAACCUAAUACAGUAAAUAUAAUACAGAAUUUUACUUUCGAAAAAAAUAUAAAGAACAAAGGAUAGGAAAAAAAAAAAGUAAUAAACAUUCAACACAAUAAACACAUCAGUACGAAUACCAUACAAAUAAAAAGAACUUGAAAAAACUGAAUAAAACUAUCUAAAAAAUUUCAACGCUACAACAUAAAGAAUAUAUAAUUUUUUUAAAAGAACUUUAUGAAAUUUGGAGGAAGGCUCGAUUUGAUGAAGAUGGCAACGCCAAGCUCGGCGAUGCAGCGUGCAAACUCAUACUUCGUCCACAGAACGUGUUCGAUCUUGGCCUCGGAGCUCAUGGAAGAGGAUUUACGAUUUACGGUUUAGAUUAGGAUUAAGAUGGGUGGACCAUUAAUUAAACGUUAUGUAUAAAGGGAAGGCGAAGGGUUGGAUUAAUGUGGGUGGACCAUUAAUUAGAUGUUAUGAGUGGAGAAAAUGAGAAAGGUUGGGUUAAGGUAGGUGAAUCAUUAAUUAGACGUUAUAGAUGGAGGGAGGGCAAAGGAUUCGUUUCGUAAUGUGAAGCCUAAAAAUAAAGGAAACACAGUUACAUGACACUUUUUUUGGGGAAUAAUGUAUAUGUAUAAAAGUAUAGAUAUAAAUUGUAUAGAUAUAUAGAUA